rnacentral:rRNA from 1 species
GACGAACGCUGGCGGCGUGCCUAAUACAUGCAAGUCGGACGCUGAAGAGAGGAGCUUACUCUUCUUGGAUGAGUUGCGAACGGGUGAGUAACGCGUAGGUAACCUGCCUUGUAGCGGGGGAUAACUACUGGAAACGAUAGCUAAUACCGCAUAACAAUGGACGACACAUGUCAUUUAUUUGAAAGGGGCAAUUGCUCCACUACAAGAUGGACCUGCGUUGUAUUAGGUAGUAGGUGAGGUAAUGGCUUAACUAGGCGAAGAUACCUAACCGGCCUUGAGGGGGGGUCGGCCACACUGGGAAUGGGGCCCGGCCCAGGCCCCCACGGGGAGGAGCAGUAGGGAAACUUUGGCAAUGGGGGCAACGCUGGCCGAGCAACGGCGCGGGAGUGGAGGAGGUUCUCGGGUCGUUAAGCUCUGUUGUAUGUCAAGAACGAAUGGUGGAAUGGAAAAUGCACGCUUUGACGGUAGCUAACCAGAAAGCGACGGCUAACUACGUG